GUACUUACCUGGCAGUAACCUCCAUGUAAUAUGAUCAAGUAAGUGGUUCACCUAGAGUGAGGCUCAGCCAUUGUACUCCGGUUGUGCUGACUCCUCCAAAUUCCCACAAAUGUGGGAAUCUCGACUGCAGUUUCUGAUAUUGGGGGACUGCAUUCAUGCGCUCCCCUG